AAAGUUUGAACAAUGGCUUUCGUGCGGCUUAGAGGUAGGUGGGCAUUUUCCACCCUGCAGGUAGGGGACAGUGUCAGGUUCAGGUAGAUGUGCCUUGUCAUCGAAAAUGGGGUAAAGUAGGCGUGAUACGGGAGCAACGCUUAGGCGUACUUCGUCGGUAUCGGCAUUUAAACGAAAAGGGUCAACAUCAUUCAAGUAGGUCUUGUGUUCGUCAUCCACGCGAAUGGUAACUUCAGCCUCUUUCAGAUAAAACUCGUAUGUCUCCAUGUCCUGAACUCCUUGUCCUGCAUUCUGUUGUUUACUACCAUCGUGUAAUAUUGACUUGAAUCGAUGGUCGAAGGCGUCUAGCUGUGUCAGUGUCUGAAUGAUCCGAUGCUCUGCUCCUCUGAUCG
rnacentral:lncRNA from 1 species